UUUUGUUUAUUAAAGUUCUCCAUUUUAAUUAGGUGUCCUAUUUUACAUAUUUUAAGAUGAUAAUUGCCGUCUCUUACUUUGCCCUUAGGAACAGGUUUCUUUGAAAGUGCUUAACUACAUUACAAACCUGAGUCAUAGGGACGCCUGGAUAGCCCAGUCAGUUAAGCAUACUUUGGCUCAAGUCAUGAUAUCCAGGGUUGUGGGAUCUAUCACCACCCCCACGGGCUCCCAAGGAGUCUGUUUCAGAUUAUCUGUCCCACUGCCCCUCCCCUACACUGUGUACUCACUCUCUUAAAUAAAUAAAUGAUAUAUUUAAAAACAAAAAAAUAAACCCAAGUCAGAGCCUUACCUUUAUGCGUUAGACUUUAUUAUGGCUAUCCUAUCCAUAAAUGUUCUGGUCUGGGUUAUUUAAAAGGAAAAUAAAAGGCGGAUGCACUGCUGAAUUCAAAUACUUGAGAAUACCAGACUGUGUGUUUUAGAUUUGGCUAUUUAAGAAAUUGACCAAACAUGGCUUGUUGGAGUUGGGCUAGUACUGUGUCUGUAUAAUUUCUAACAACAGAAAAAAAGAAUGUAAAAGCUCUUUGUUAGCUGAAGAUGUCUGUGUAGAUUCUUGGUCCUUUUCAACUCAGAAAAAAAUGUACUUUAGAGAAUUAUGAUUGAUAGUGUAAAUAGUAGAAUCAUGAAACUCUCAUAGUUCCCAUUGCAAUUGUAACAUUUGCCCUUGUGCAGGGAAAAUGUAAGAGUAAUUGUCCAAUUUAUGACAUACAUAGAUGUGCACACAUGUCUGUCGAUAUGUGUGUAGUAAGGUAUGACUGCCACAGUAGUUGUCUUUAGAUUUACCGAAUUUUAUGUAUUUAUAGCUUUAGACAGCAUUAUUUUUUUUACUUUUUAGUAUUCAAAGAAAAAUUUAUCCUUUAUAAAAUUUAGUCAGUAGCUGAAAUAUUAGGAGGGUAAUGAAAGAAGGUUUCUGAACUUUCAGGUUUUUUGUUGACCCCCUCACUGAAGCAAAUCAAAUCUUUUAUCAUAGAAAGUUUUAGAAUCAGUUACUGCACUUUAAGAGUCUGUCAUAAAAAUUCAUGCUCCAGGGGCACCUCCAUGGCUCAGUCAGUUAAGCACCUGCCUUCAGCUCAGGUCAUGAUCCUCUGAGCCCCUUUCCAUCAUACUCCCUGCAGGGAGUCUGUUUCCCCUUCAACUCUGCCCCUCCCACCUCUCAUUGUCUCUCUCUCUCUCUC